ACCCGCACAAGCGGUGGAUGAUGUGGUUUAAUUCGAUGCAACGCGAAAAACCUUACCUACCCUUGACAUGCCAAGAAUUUUGCAGAGAUGUGAAAGUGCUCGAAAGAGAACUUGAACACAGGUGCUGCAUGGCCGUCGUCAGCUCGUGUCGUGAGAUGUUGGGUUAAGUCCCGCAACGAGCGCAACCCUUGUCGUUAGUUGCUACCGCAAGGAGCACUCUAAUGAGACUGCCGGUGACAAACCGGAGGAAGGUGGGGAUGACGUCAGGUCCUCAUGGCCCUUAUGGGUAGGGCUACACACGUCAUACAAUGGCCGGUACAGAGGGCUGCCAACCCGCGAGGGGGAGCCAAUCCCAGAAAACCGGUCGUAGUCCGGAUCGUAGUCUGCAACUCGACUGCGUGAAGUCGGAAUCGCUAGUAAUCGCGGAUCAGCUUGCCGCGGUGAAUACGUUCCCGGGUCUU
rnacentral:rRNA from 1 species